AUGGAUCUAAGCUGGCAACCGCCCCAGCAUGCCUCCCGGCAGCGGAUCCAGGCCGACAACUACUCCCCUCCUCCCCCGCGACUGAUUGCCUCCACUACCCUCCCUUCCAUCUUAGGGUCUGGAGAGCCCCAGCCGCCACGCUCCCUCUUUCCUCUCCUCUGCGUCAAGAUCGACUGUGAGCUCACUGGUGCCUGCUCUCUGCCGACCUUCCCUUCCCAGCCGCCUCACGACAUGCAGUACGGGGUGGCGAAGCCGUGCAGUUCAUCGUGUCCGUCCCGUCAUGUACCUUCUCGGUGUUGGCCCCCGAUCCCCAUGAGCAUACCCUCCCCUAUUUUCUCUGUGUCACCGACCAUGGCAACCACGAGGCUGGAAGGGGUCUCAUGGACCCGAGAGUGCGAGAGGAGUAACAGCGCUGGCGCUGACGCCUAG
rnacentral:rRNA from 1 species